UCACCGUAACUUCGGGAAAAGGUGUGCCCUUUGUAUGUGUAGCGCCUCGCGCGUGAAGCAGAAUAGGGUUGCAAUGAAAUGGUGGCUGCGACUGUUUAAUAAAAACAUAGCACUCUGCAAACACGAAAGUGGACGUAUAGAGUGUGACGCCUGCCCGGUGCCGGAAGGUUAAAUGAUGGGGUGCAAGCUCUUGAUUGAAGCCCCGGUAAACGGCGGCCGUAACAAUAACGGUCCUAAGGUAGCGAAAUUCCUUGUCGGGUAAGUUCCGACCUGCACGAAUGGCGUAACGAUGGCCACACUGUCUCCUCCUGGGACUCAGCGAAGUUGAAAUGUUUGUGAAGAUGCAAUCUCCCCGCGGCUAGACGGAAAGACCCCGUGCACCUUUACUGUAGCUUUACAUUGGACUUUGAUAACAUUUGUGUAGGAUAGGUGGGAGGCUUUGAAGUGGAUUCGCUAGAAUUCAUGGAGCCAACGUUGAAAUACCACCCUGAUGUUGUUGAGGUUCUAACCUAGAUCCAUUAUCUGGAUUGGGGACCGUGUAUGGUAGGCAGUUUGACUGGGGCGGUCUCCUCCCAAAUUGUAACGGAGGAGUACGAAGGUACGCUAGGUACGGUCGGAAAUCGUGCUGAUAGUGCAAUGGCAAAAGCGUGCUUGACUGCGAGACUGACAAGUCGAGCAGAUGCGAAAGCAGGUCAUAGUGAUCCGGUGGUUCUGUAUGGAAGGGCCAUCGCUCAACGGAUAAAAGGUACGCCGGGGAUAACAGGCUGAUUCCUCCCAAGAGUUCAUAUCGACGGGGGAGUUUGGCACCUCGAUGUCGGCUCAUCACAUCCUGGGGCUGUAGCCGGUCCCAAGGGUAUGGCUGUCCGCCAUUUAAAGUGAUACGUGAGCUGGGUUUAAAACGUCGUGAGACAGUUUGGUCCCUAUCUGCCGUGGGCGUUGGAAGUUUGAGUGGACCUGCUCCUAGUACGAGAGGACCGGAGUGGACGCACCUCUGGUGUACCGGUUAUGACGCCAGUCGUAUCGCCGGGUAGCUAUGUGCGGAAGAGAUAACCGCUGAAAGCAUCUAAGCGGGAAACUCUCCUCAAGAUGAGACUUCCCGAGGGUUUAACCCUCCUAAAGGUUCGUCGAAGACUACGACGUUGAUAGGUCGGGUGUGGAAGCAUAGUGAUAUGUUAAGCUAACCGAUACUAAUUGACCGUGAGGCUUGAUCCU
rnacentral:rRNA from 1 species